UUUAAACUGGUUUGGGAAAACCAAAUAUAUUAUAUAUUUUGCUUUGUUCAAAAUAAGGUUUUCUAAUAAAUUAUGUUUUUAUCAGAUAUGACAGAAUCUUUUUUAAAAUCUCUUCAAUAUGCUUUUAUUGCUUUUGAGAGGUUUUGUUACUUUGAGUAAAAUUAAGUGUUCAUAACAGACGGGUAGUCAUGAUUGAGUUCAUUGU
rnacentral:rRNA from 1 species